GACGAACGCUGGCGGCGUGCUUAACACAUGCAAGUCGAACGAAGUGGCGAACGGGUGAGUAACGCGUAAUCAACCUGCCCUUCAGAGGGGGACAACAGUUGGAAACGACUGCUAAUACCGCAUACUGAAGGAGGGGAUUGCGUCUGAUUAGCUGGUUGGAGGGGUAACGGCCCACCAAGGCGAUGAUCAGUAGCCGGUCUUGGAGGAAGACAGGCCACAUUUGGACUUGGACACGGCCCAGACUCCUACGGGAGGCAGCAGGGGGGAAUCUUCCGCAAUGGACGAAAGGCUGGCGGAGCAAAGCCGCGUUAGUGAUGACGGCCUUCGGGUUGUAAAGCUCUGUUAAUCGGGACGCGGUACCGGAAUAGAAAGCCACGGCUAACUACGUGCCAGCCGCCGCGGUAAUUC
rnacentral:rRNA from 1 species